rnacentral:lncRNA from 1 species
GGAUGUGAGGGCUACCUGGUUGCGACAUCUGUCACCCCAUUGAUCGCCAGGGUUGAUUCGGCGGAUCUGGCUGGCUAGGCGGGUGUCCCCUUCCUCCCUCACCGCUCCAUGUGCGUCCCUCCCGAAGCUGCGCGCUCGGUCGAAGAGGACUACCAUCCCUUAUAGAGGAGGACUGGGCUUCCGUCAAGGGUAUACGAGUAGCUGAACCUAUGUCCUCUGC